UGUCUAGAACGGCAAGUGGAUAUGUUAGAGGAUAGGUCUAUAAAGCUCAUCCUAAAAGAGUUUGAAAUACUACUUUCUGAAAGGAUUAUAAUGUGAUUAUGACCCAACAUGCUAUCUUCUUGAAAAAUUAUUUGACCAGGAUAAAGCAGUGGGAGGAAAGUUAUACUCGAAGAGAAUGUCUCUAAAGAGCAACGAGCUAUAAGACCUUAAGAACCUAUUCACAAGCCAGUAGAUGUAUAUUCUUCUUUUACCUCGUACACA
rnacentral:lncRNA from 1 species